AGCUCAAAUUUGAAAUCUGGCGCAAGCCCGAAGUUGUAAUUUGCAGAGGAUGUUUCGGGUGAAGCCACGGUCCAAGUCCCUUGGAACAGGACGUCAUAGAGGGUGAGAACCCCGUACCUGGCCGUCGGUGCCCCCCGCUGUGAAACUCCUUCGACGAGUCGAGUUGUUUGGGAAUGCAGCUCUAAAUUGGUGGUAAAUUCCAUCUAAAGCUAAAUACCGGCCAGAGACCGAUAGCGCACAAGUAGAGUGAUCGAAAGAUGAAAAGCACUUUGAAAAGAGAGUUAAAAAGUACGUGAAAUUGUUGAAAGGGAAGCGCUUGCGGCCAGACUUGCCCGCGGUUGCUCAGCCCGCCCUUUGGCGGGUGCACUCUUCCGCGGUCAGGCCAGCAUCGGUUUGGGCGGCCGGAUAAAGGCGUUGGGAACGUAGCCUCCCCUCGGGGAGGUGUUAUAGCCCGGCGCGCAAUGCGACCAGCCCGGACCGAGGUUCGCGCUCUGCUAGGAUGCUGGCGUAAUGGCCGUAAGCGGCCCGUCUUGAAACACGGACCAAGGAGUCUAACAUCUAUGCGAGUGUUUGGGUGUCAAACCCGUGCGCGUAAUGAAAGUGAACGGAGGUGGGAACCGCAAGGUGCACCAUCGACCGAUCCUGAUGUCUUCGGAAGGAUUUGAGUAAGAGCAUAGCUGUUGGGACCCGAAAGAUGGUGAACAAUC
rnacentral:rRNA from 1 species